rnacentral:rRNA from 1 species
CUGCCCACUGUGUAUUUAAAGGGCUGCAGUAUUUUAACUGUACAAAGGUAGCAUAAUCAUUAGUUUUUUAAUUGGGGACUGGUAUGAAAGGUUUGACGGAGAUUAACUGUCUUUAUUGUGAUUUAUAAAAUUAAUUUUUUUGUGAAAAAGCAGAAGUGAAUUAAAGGGACGAGAAGACCCUAUUAAACUUAAAUAUAAUGAUUUAAUUAUUAAUGUAUUAAUUAACAUUAAUUUAUAUAUUUUGUUUGGGGCGAAUGGUAUAUUGAACAAUAUUAAUAUAUAAUAAUUUAAGUAGAGAUUUUUUGAUCCUAAUGGAUUGAUUUGGAGAAUAAGUUACUAUAGGGAUAACAGCGUUAUAUUCCUAGAGAGUUCUUAUUGAUAGGGAUGUUUGCGACCUCGAUGUUGGAUUAAGAUUUCUUUUUGAUGCAGAUGUUAUUAGAAGAUGGUCUGUUCGACCAGUAAUUUCUUACAUGAUCUGAGUUCAAAAACCGGAGA